rnacentral:rRNA from 1 species
GAUGAACGCUGGCGGCGUGCCUAAUACAUGCAAGUCGAGCGAACGGACGAGAAGCUUGCUUCUCUGAUGUUAGCGGCGGACGGGUGAGUAACACGUGGAUAACCUACCUAUAAGACUGGGAUAACUUCGGGAAACCGGAGCUAAUACCGGAUAAUAUUUUGAACCGCAUGGUUCAAAAGUGAAAGACGGUCUUGCUGUCACUUAUAGAUGGAUCCGCGCUGCAUUAGCUAGUUGGUAAGGUAACGGCUUACCAAGGCAACGAUGCAUAGCCGACCUGAGAGGGUGAUCGGACACACUGGAACUGAGACACGGUCCAGACUCCUACGGGAGGCAGCAGUAGGGAAUCUUCCGCAUUGGGCGAAAGCCUGACGGAGCAACGCCGCGUGAGUGAUGAAGGUCUUCGGAUCGUAAAACUCUGUUAUCAGGGAAGAACAUAUGUGUAAGUAACUGUGCACAUCUUGACGGUACCUAAUCAGAAAGCCACGGCUAACUACGUG